GGCGAUGUAGCCAAGUGGUUACGGCGAUUGACUAGAAUUGUCUAUCUCUUCUAACUUAUCAAUUGGGUUUACCCGCGUAGGUUCGAAUCCUGCCAUCGUCG